rnacentral:tRNA from 1 species
GGCUGAGUUUAGGCGAUAAAUUGUAAAUUUAUAGACGAAUUUUAAAAUUCUUUUACUAGGUAAAAU